rnacentral:lncRNA from 1 species
GUGCUAUUAAAAAUGCCUUUGAUAAAUAUACCAAUGGAUAGAAGACCAAUAUUAAAUUCUUGUUUCUCUUUUCUCUUUCCAGUUUUGGUACAUAACAGUUUUAUGUAUUCCACAAGUUCAUCUUUCACAUGGCUCAACAUUAGAAAAACACUCAAAGAUAACAUGAAAACGUUGCAGUUUUCUCCGGAACCAUCCCAUAGCAAAUUCCAAAUCAAUGUUUUCUGUAGAAGUGAUGUAGUGUUUUCAUGACUGCACUAUUUACUUUUCACAAGCAGAGUGUUGAUGGCACCAGAAGGAGAACAUAUCUAGAGGAAGCACCAGCAUAAUACAAGACUUAGGAUUCAAAAUACACGGAUUAUCCCUAAGAUCCUGUUAUUAAACUGGGGUGUUCAGUACUACAUUGAAUUCAGUGUGACGGGGGGCUCAUGCCCACAGGGAUGCUCUGGCCCAGAAAAGCACAAUCUUUUCAGCUGGGCCACACAACUGCACCACACAACUACUGCUAUGACAGAAGCCAAAGUAAAGACUUUUAAAGACUCCUUUGCUGAAAACUACACUAUCAGUAACAAAAUCUUUAGCUAAAUUAAGCUUUAUUAAUUGAUGGAUUGACUUUUCAAUGUGGUAAAGGAAACGUAAUUGCAAUGUGGACAGAACAUGAGCAACUAUCCAACUACUGAAAGGUACUCCAGAAGGACAACCUUUAUUUGUGAGUGAACACACAGCUGCCUGUUGCUAGAUGGAAACCCAGACAGAACGGUGGCCAAAAGCAGAGUUAAAUAUAUUAAAAAUUGGUUAUAAAAAUAUGAGUAAUAGAUUGUAAUACUGAACUAGCUGUACACACAUAUUGACUGCUUUCCUGCUCUCUGACUGCCAGUGCCAGUCCUCGUGUUUCUGCCCUGCACAUUUGACGAGACCACAUUAACAUCACGGCACAAAAUGAACCGCAUUAGUUUCACACCAGGACUUGUGAACUAUUCAGGACAGCAACAGGGGGAAGCCUGAAGGUUAUUUCUUAACGCAACAGGGCCUCGAAUCCGCGGCUUCUCACUGCUACAUCAGAACCAAUACAAGCAGACUGACGUGAUUUCAAGCGUCCGCCACACCACGCAGCCCACGGCACGGCUGAGCGCCGUCGAGCUUCCCGCCCUCGGGGCCGCGGCGUCCCUGCAGACANNNNNNNNNNNNNNNNNNNNNNNNNNNNNNNNNNNNNNNNNNNNNNNNNNNNNNNNNNNNNNNNNNNNNNNNNNNNNNNNNNNNNNNNNNNNNNNNNNNNCGCGCUCCGUGUGUGCGUCGGGGAAAGGUUCUCCGUGCGCGUGCGCGCACUUCAGCGCGGCGCGAGCGGGUUCAGGCUGCGGCCGGUUGAGGGAGGGCGCCUGCGCGCUGCGCUGAGCCGGGUGGGAGAGCGGCAGGGCGGAGUGUGCGCAUGCGCAGAGUUCACGUCACCGCCCUCUGCUGCGCCGCGGGGCGGGCGUUGCUGUCGCGGUGCCGUUUGCUUCUUGUGUUCCUUCUCUUACUAAUGAUAGGGUUGAAAGCAAGCAACCAAAAGCACCUGUUUCUUUCUGUCACUAUGUGUUAAUCCCUGACAGUUUUAUAACGUAAAUAUGUUUUACGCAGGUACUUGUAGCGUCAUGUACUCUGAAAACAUUCCUAAGUACGAUUUCAGGUCCAAGAGGAAUUUCUGUUUGGAAUUAUAGGGAUAUUCGUACGUUUGUAUUUCCCAGCAUCCAGAGGAAUUGCCUUGUCAGCAUAGUGCUCUGCCUCGUGAGGCUGCGUGGCUCAGCACUCUCAGUAUCUCACGCCUUCUUUAUGUCUGCGAAUGUUGUAAAUGACAAAAAACAUGUAUUUUUUUUUUCCUUCUGUUGCUGCUUCUCGUUUUAUUUUAUUUUUUUCCCCAAAAAUCUUUGAAGCAGUUAUGGCAGAACAGAUAAUUAGCUGUUGGAUACACUUGUCUUGUUUUUGUUGCUCUAAACAGAGCUGUUAGUACAGGAGCAUCCCCUCUUUUCUCCCUUGUGGUACUACUUGACACCAGUGUAUCCUUGGGCUGCCAAGAGAGCUUCCUAAUUCCAGGUGCUGAAUGGAGUCGUUAUGGCCACAUGGAGCACAGCUGUUCAUGAAGCAUGAACCAGUAUGGUUCAUAAAGAGAAUGCAGUAUUACUUCAUAAGCCAACCUGGCAUUAAUUCCUCUGUGUGCCCUCCUCUCACUCAUGCUUGCUCUUGCCACAAGAAGGCAAAGAUGGUAAAUACUUUUGGGAAAAGUCACUGAACCGUUGUCUAAAGAAGUUCAGCCAUAGAAAUAACCUUGAUUUCCUCUGAUGAGGAGCAAGUGUGACAGGCUGAAAUGUGUUAGUAGGGUUGUCCUUCCCGAGGCUCAUAUCAGCAGCCUUGAAGAAACUGAAGGGCAUUGCAGUACCCAUCUUCAUUCUUAAUGUUAUGAGCUGUAGAUCCCCAGGGCCUAGCUUCAGCACUCAGAGUACAUUUAUGUCUCCCUAACCACUGCAUUUAGAAAAGAGCUUCUACUGGUAAUAUAUAUUUUUUUCAAUUAGUAUUCAGUUUAGAAAGGGAAUCAAGUUCAACAUCUUUAUCUUAGUAGGCUUAUUGUAGAUUGAGGAGUGGGAGAUUACCAGGCUGGAAAGCUGAAUGAUGUUAAUUGGCUUAGGGCUCAUAACAAUUGUGAAGGAAAUUCAGCAAACCUAAUUUUUCAUUUGUCAUAGAUUGUUCGCAGCACUGUCACUUGAACAUCAACAUGCAUGCCAAAACUGCCUCAUUAUAUUAGCAGAGCAGGCAGAUGUUGAAUUGUUACAAACAUGGCUUUGUUACCCCUAGCUCUUAUUGAAGGUUCAUGGGCUUUCACUUUGCAUAUUGCUCUGCCUGAAUUUCACAAAUUUCACAGCAUUCUUUUCUGAAACAAACUCUCAUUUCAGUUUCAAUGUGUUGCCCAUCAGCUGGACGCCUGGUUUUCCAAAAAGCUCCAAUGUGUCUUUUCUAAGCUUGACGAGUCAAGAUUAAAAUUUAAAUUAUGAUAAGAAUCCAUGUGGAUUUCUAACUUGGAGUCUGCAGUUCAAGAUAAAGGUGAGAAAUCUAAACAAACUGGUAUACUUUGUAGGUACACAAAUUGGAAAACGGAGAUUACAUCCUUUGGCGUUACAGACUGUCCUGAAUAAUACCAAAUUCAUUAUGGAGACGUAUGAGCUGCUAAUUCCUUUGAUACUAAUGUGGUUGCAUUACUGCUAGGUAAUGUCAGCACUUAAGUUAUCUCCAAUUUGUGUGUAUUUCUACUAACAGUCGGGGAACUCUGAUAUUAAAGAAAAUGUAGGAAUUAAUAUCUUGUUCUGUAUAGCUAUGAAAACUGAUGCUAAACAGGUAAUACUUCUCAAAGAAAUUAGGAAGUCAAAAGGAGGAAACUAAUGACUUAACCACCUGAUAUUAAGGUAAUUGCUCAUUUCCUUCCUCUUGUUCUGUGUAAUCUAAGGUCUUCGUGAGAAUUUCUGUUUCCUGCUCUGCUAUGAACAGCUCAUGUGUCACAUGAGAUUUUGUUAAGUAUGCAAUCUAAAUAGUUGAGAUUCGUGUAUUUUUUUUUUUCUUUUUUUUUCUUUUUUCUUUUUUUUCUAAAACAGAACCACAAGUAGUGGUAGAGUAGUAGACACAGAAGUGUAACGUGGGCCAUGCCAGUUGCAUUGGGGCCCCAGGUCAAAAUUAAAUCAAAAUCAACUCACAUUCAGGCUCCUCAGAGCCCCAAGCUGCCAGAGUUCAAGAAGCUUUUGGGCAAUGCUUUCAGACUUAGGCUUUGGAUUUGGGGUUUUUUGCUUGUGCUUUUGAACCCUUAAUGAUUUUCUGUGUUUGCUCCAUUAGAUGUUCUGCAAGGAUUAGGCCUAUUUCCACUCAACUACUUUCCAUCUGAAAUUUCCAAAAAUAGUAAUUAAAAGCUUGGUAACUACUAAGAGUUCCCCCAUCCACUUUAUUUUCCUGCAAGAUUCUGGUAUGGAUUCUUCCAUUCAUUCUGCCUUAUUUUGAAGUGAAUAUUUGAAAUAUUAACCCAACUUGUGGGUGAUGGCUUUUUUUCCCCCUCCUCCCCCUGAAGCACAAAGUCAGAUGUGGGCUAUUUCUGGACAGUGGAUUGCAUAGUCUCAGCUGGCUCUGUUUUGUUUAAGACAAAAUAAAGGGCCUAUUUUGGAAAUGUUGUGGUGAUGGGGCUUUACUUGCUGAUUUCAGUAAUUCUAAUCAGAAUAGAUAACCAGGGGAUUGUAUUUGGUUAGCCUAGAGCAUAUAACUCAUGUGAAACUUCACUUUGCCACUAUGGAAUCUCUUCUGUAUUAAUUUGUUUGCACUUGGUAAUAUUAUGCAGUUUGCAAUUUCCAAUCUCAGGUGUGAUUUUAAUGUGCCAUGAAGCUAUACCUGGUCUAACACAGCCACUGAACUGCUGCUGAAAGGCUGCCUUGGGCCUCCACCAUAGCCCCUGCCCCAGGCAGGGAGCUGGUCCAUACCCCCUACAACCUUUCUGUUUGUUUGUGGUUGUUUUUUGAGUUGUCUCCAGUUCUGGUCCCUGAUCUUUUCAACCUUGCAGCUGCAAAGUCUGACACGGCAGGAGGAGGACGAAUGACCAGCCACAGUAGUGUAGGAUUUGCUGAAGCCAGAGUCAGUGGGAACUCCUCAUGCCAGACUGUAACCUGCAUUCUUCUCUCAGAUCGUGUAUCUGUUUGGUAGGAGAGGGGACACAUCUGUCAGUAUUGCUGCAAUGGCUGCUAUUACUCUGUUUUGCCUAAUGGCUUUUUUUUUUUUUUAUUUUAAGAGACAGUAAAAGAUUUUGACUUAAAUUGGAAGCUGGUGGAUUUAGCAAUACAAUGUAAUAGUUUCUUAGGGAUUUCUGUCAGUGGUGUUCCAAACAUGUAGUGCUGGACUUGAGUCUGUCAGGAAGGAAUACUGACUGUAACAGUGUUGCUGUUUUGGGGGUUUUGUUUGUUUGUUUUUGAAAGGAUGUAAAAGUAUUGAUAGAGGAUUGCACAAGGAAAAGAUGUCAGUGCUUAACAUUAUCACAAGCAUAAUAAGUGCUUGUGCAUUCUGUGUUGCAGUUUGUAUUCCAACUUUCAGA